AUGUGUUGGACAAUGUGUUUCUCAGUUAUUAAGUUUCAUAAACAAAUCUCUCUUCAUAACCGAGAAGUCAAGUUUCUUGAAUUCUUUUACAUCCUAAUGUUUGUUGCUGCAAUUGAUAUUUUGUGCUUCCAGUGCAGAAAGGUUUGGUAUAUUUUGUCCUUUUCAAGUAAAGAAAUCGAAUUUUACAGUAUAAUGUCUUGUCUUGUUCAGUUGUACCAGCUAUACCUGUGUUGUCCGGUAGGUUUGUAUAAAAGUGUUUUGCGUUCCUCUCUGAACUACUUUUGGCAUGCUAGUACUAUUGAUAUCCUAUUGCUUACAUACUUCAAACUUACUUGA
rnacentral:rRNA from 1 species